AUUGAACGCUGGCGGCAUGCCUUACACAUGCAAGUCGAACGGUAACAGGUCUUCGGAUGCUGACGAGUGGCGAACGGGUGAGUAAUACAUCGGAACGUGCCUAGUAGUGGGGGAUAACUACUCGAAAGAGUGGCUAAUACCGCAUGAGAUCUACGGAUGAAAGCAGGGGAUCGCAAGACCUUGUGCUACUAGAGCGGCCGAUGGCAGAUUAGGUAGUUGGUGGGAUAAAAGCUUACCAAGCCGACGAUCUGUAGCUGGUCUGAGAGGACGAUCAGCCACACUGGGACUGAGACAACGCCCAGACUCCUACGGGAGGCAGCAGUGGGGAAUUUUGGACAACGGGCGAAAGCCUGAUCCAGCAAUGCCGCGUGCAGGAUGAAGGCCUUCGGGUUGUAAACUGCUUUUGUACGGAACGAAAAGCCCCGGGUUAAUACCCUGGGGUCAUGACGGUACCGUAAGAAUAAGCACCGGCUAACUACGUGCCAGCCGCCGCCGUAA
rnacentral:rRNA from 1 species